GGUAAUAAACUUGAGGGAAGAAUGCUUACUGGAUGUCUGAGUUGGAUUUUGGUCUUUGGUUCAGGGAAGAGUUGCUGUGCUUAUCUUGUUCUGGAUGGGAUCGUCAGCUGCAGAUGUGAAGGUGUAUGACCUAUCUUGCAUCUUAUGACCUAUCAGACCCAGUCUAGGAUGCUUUCUCAGUGGUCUACCAAGUGAAACAGUACAGUCCACUUCAUCUGUUGCUUCAAAUUGUCCCUGGAAAUAGCAGGGUUUACCCAUAUUCCUCUGGGAUAGGAACACACCAUUGAUAGGUGUGUUUUAAAAAUCAGGGCAUUUAAUUUUGUGCUACCAGUGGACUCCACUGUACUUGAUCAAGAAAAAAAAAAUGCAGCCCUUGAGAAGAAUGAAUAUUAUCCUGAGAGAGUCAGAUGAGUCACCCUCUGAGACGUUAAGUGCUACCCUACUGUGAAGAGAUUUGAUUGACUGAACAAGUGAGUUAAAUAGAGUUUAGACUGUGAAGGAAAUUGUGAAUUAAUGGGCUUCAGGUCAAGCAAACAAGUGAUGAAAACAAUUUCUAAGAUAUCUUUUUUUUAAAAAUGUUUGUCUGUCUGUUUGAACAAUGAAAAAAAUGUAACAGCCUUGUUAUCACAAGGUUCUCGUUUCACAUAAUGAAAGCUUUUUUAGUUCAUUUGCAGAAACAGCUUGAAGGGUUAUGAAACUGCUGAAGGCUAGAUUGCACAAAACCUAUUUGCACUGAUGAGAUUUUUCUUCAUGUGAGCUGCUUGACUGAAGUCAAUGAAAGUCUUCAUAUAAACACAUUUCACCGUGUAAAGAACACUUUCAGUCGUUCGGUUCACAUUGAUACAAUUGAAUGAAAUGAAUAUGUAAAUUCUUGACCUAUUGAUGAUAAUAUGAAUUCCUCUAGACACUGAUUUAGUUUUUCAUGAUUACCUGAUAUUCUCUUGGCAUAGCAUAUUGGGAUAGAAUAUAGGGAUUAGAACAAAUAUAUUUUUCGUUUAGGAUAGUAUCACAUCAUGUUAAUCCAAACAAGGAAUUUCCAAGGUAGUUACUUUCUUAAUACUUGAAGAUCACACAUUUCUUGAGAAAUACCUUAUAUUUAUAAUAUUGCUUCUUAAUAAACUAGGUGUAGAAAUCAUG
rnacentral:lncRNA from 7 species